GAGGGUAUAACUCAGUGGUAGAGUGCUUGCCUAGCAAGCAUGAGGUCCUGGGUUCAAUCCCCAGUACCUCCU
rnacentral:tRNA from 1 species